UUGAACGCUGGCGGAAUGCUUUACACAUGCAAGUCGAGCGGCAGCGCGGGGCAACCUGGCGGCGAGCGGCGAACGGGUGAGUAAUGCAUCGGAACAUGUCCAUGUCGUGGGGGAUAGCCCGGCGAAAGCCGGAUUAAUACCGCAUACGCCCGAGAGGGGAAAGUGGGGGACCGCAAGGCCUCACGCGAUUGGGUUGGCCGAUGUCCGAUUAGCUUGUUGGUGAGGUAAAGGCUUACCAAGGCGAUGAUCGGUAGCUGGUCUGAGAGGAUGAUCCGCCACACUGGGACUGAGACACGGCCCAGACUCCUACGGGAGGCGGCAGUGGGGAAUUUUGGACAAUGGGGGCAACCCUGAUCCAGCCAUGCCGCGUGAGUGAAGAAGGCCUUCGGGUUGUAAAGCUCUUUCAGACGGAAAGAAAACGCAUCGGUGAAUACCCGGUGUGGAUGACGGUACCGUAAGAAGAAGCACCGGCUAACUACGU
rnacentral:rRNA from 1 species